rnacentral:rRNA from 1 species
CUCGCUGACGAGCGGCGGACGGGUGAGUAAUACUUAGGAAUCUACCUAGUAGUGGGGGAUAGCUCGGGGAAACUCGAAUUAAUACCGCAUACGACCUACGGGAGAAAGGGGGCAACUUGUUGCUCUCGCUAUUAGAUGAGCCUAAGUCGGAUUAGCUAGAUGGUGGGGUAAAGGCCUACCAUGGCGACGAUCUGUAGCUGGUCUGAGAGGAUGAUCAGCCACACCGGGACUGAGACACGGCCCGGACUCCUACGGGAGGCAGCAGUGGGGAAUAUUGGACAAUGGGGGCAACCCUGAUCCAGCCAUGCCGCGUGUGUGAAGAAGGCCUUUUGGUUGUAAAGCACUUUAAGCAGUGAAGAAGACUCCAUGGUUAAUACCCAUGGACGAUGACAUUAGCUGCAGAAUAAGCACCGGCUAACUCUGUGCCAGCAGCCGCGGUAAUACAGAGGGUGCAAGCGUUAAUCGGAAUUACUGGGCGUAAAGCGAGCGUAGGUGGCUUGAUAAGUCAGAUGUGAAAGCCCCGGGCUUAACCUGGGAACGGCAUCUGAUACUGUUAGGCUAGAGUAGGUGAGAGGAAGGUAGAAUUCCAGGUGUAGCGGUGAAAUGCGUAGAGAUCUGGAGGAAUACCGAUGGCGAAGGCAGCCUUCUGGCAUCAUACUGACACUGAGGUUCGAAAGCGUGGGUAGCAAACAGGAUUAGAUACCCUGGUAGUCCACGCCGUAAACGAUGUCUACUAGUCGUUGGGUCCCUUGAGGACUUAGUGACGCAGCUAACGCAAU